ACACUAUUUUGCCUUUUGUGUGUUCACAGUGUGCACUUUAAUAUUUGCGCCAAAUACAUUGUUUUAUUUAGAACUGUAAGAGGUGGUUCUGUUUUUAGGCAGCCCUGUUACACUUUAUCAAAGUUACACUUUUGUACUUGAGAGCAUCAUUAGCCACAUUUGAACUACACAGAGUAAUCACAGGGCACUAAGCCUGUGUAAAGAAAACUUCAGAAAAGCUCUUCAUGUAUGCAGGUCUGAAUGCUGAGUGCUGACCAGGUAGACUGUCAACCUUGCAUGCAAGCACCCCCACUUUUUGGACAGCCCAACACUUUCAACUUAUUGCCAAGUUGGGCGGUAUACUUUUGCUAUAAGGUAAUAAAAUAAUUUAUACUCUGUUGCCACAGACACAAUGCCAUAUCUCUCAACUGUGGUGGGUUCGAAGGGGCUGUUUACAUUCAUCCCUCCCAACAUUUUGAAUGUACAAAGAGGUUACUUUAGUAAUAGAGGUGUUAGUGGGGUGUGUGGCAAGGGGUAGGGCUGCCCUGAUAGAUUUCAGAUGACUUCUCACAUGGACUUCUGAUAACAAUUUAUGAAAUUAAAAUGUAAUUUAGAACAAUGUAUCUUAUUUGCACAGACUGAUUUCUAAGCAUAUUUAUUGUCGCUUAAAGACACACUACUGUGAAUAUUAUUGCUAUAGAGUUUUGUUAUACAAACAAAAAACAGAAAUAUGGAGUUCCUAGAAAAGAGACAGAGGAAUUAGGGUUCAAAAUAGAGAUUGUCCCUCCUAACUAGGUACACUUCGAAUGUAUGAAAAUUCAGGGUUCCAGGUGUCUUGUAUUUGUGGACAGAGGAUAUGUCCAAUAUUAGCGCAGCUCUAGCACAUUAUUAGAUAUACAGUACUCACAUUUCUCUGUGUAACCUCAGACCUAUAAGACUGUUGAGAAAGCACCAAGGAAGGUGUGAAAUGCCACACCCAGGGCUUUCAC